rnacentral:rRNA from 1 species
UACGGGGGGGGCAAGCGUUGUUCGGAAUUACUGGGCGUAAAGGGCGCGUAGGCGGCGUGACAAGUCACUUGUGAAAUCUCCGGGCUUAACUCGGAACGGCCAAGUGAUACUGUCGUGCUAGAGUGCAGAAGGGGCAAUCGGAAUUCUUGGUGUAGCGGUGAAAUGCGUAGAUAUCAAGAGGAACACCUGAGGUGAAGACGGGUUGCUGGGCUGACACUGACGCUGAAGCGCGAAAGCUAGGGGAGCAAACGGG